GGGGGGAAGACCUGGUCGCCCGUGAUGGCAACACGAGUGGGGUGCUGUCGGCUGAUUCGAGCUACUGCUACCGG
rnacentral:tRNA from 1 species